AACUAUAACGGUCCUAAGGUAGCGAAAUUCCUUGUCAGGUAAGUUCUGACCCGCAUGAAAGGCGUAAUGAUUUGGGCACUGUCUCAACAGCCCGCCCGGCGAAAUUGUAGUACCGGUGAAGAUGCCGGUUACCCGCGACAAGACGGAAAGACCCCAUGGAGCUUUACUGUAGCCUAAUAUUGGGUUUCGAUGUUGCAUGCACAGGAUAGAUGGGACACUGGGAAACAAUCGCUUUGGCGGUUGCGGAGUGGCCGUUGGGAUACCAUCCUUGCGAUAUUGGAAUUCUAACCUGCGGCUCUGAAUCGAGUCGGGGGACAUUGUUAGGUGGGCAGUUUGACUGGGGCGGUCGCCUCCUAAAGAGUAACGGAGGCGUUCAAAGGUUCGCUCAGCUUGAACGGAAAUCAAGCAAAAGAGUGCAAACGCAGAAGCGAGCCUAACUGCGAGACUGACGGGUCGAGCAGUAACGAAAGUUGGAGUUAGUGAUCCGGUGGUAUGUGAGUGGAAAUGCCAUCGCUCAACGGAUAAAAGUUACCCUGGGGAUAACAGGCUGAUCUCCCCCAAGAGUCCACAUCGACGGGGAGGUUUGGCACCUCGAUGUCGGCUCAUCACAUCCUGGGGCUGUAGUAGGUCCCAAGGGUUGGGCUGUUCGCCCAUUAAAGUGGUACGCGAGCUGGGUUCAAAACGUCGUGAGACAGUUUGGUUCAUAUCCAUCGCGGGCGCAAGAAGUUUGAGAGGAGCUGCUCCUAGUACGAGAGGACCGGAGUGGACGGAUCAACGGUGUCCCAGUUGUCACGCCAGUGGCACGGCUGGAAAGCCGCAUCCGGGAAGGAUAAACGCUGAAAGCAUCUAAGCGCGAAGCCAACCUCAAGAUGAGACUUCUCAUCAGCAAUGAGUAAGACCCCUUACAGACGAUGAGGUAGAUAGGUUAUGAGUGGAAGAGCCGCAAGGCUUGGAGCGACAUAAAACUAAUAGGUCGAGGUCUUAACUUA
rnacentral:rRNA from 1 species